rnacentral:rRNA from 1 species
UACGAAGGGGGCUAGCGUUGCUCGGAAUUACUGGGCGUAAAGCGCACGUAGGCGGUCUUUUAAGUCGGGGGUGAAAUCCUGGAGCUCAACUCCAGAACUGCCUUCGAUACUGGGAGACGUUGAGUCCGGGAGAGGUGAGUGGAACUGCGAGUGUAGAGGUGAAAUUCGUAGAUAUCGCAAGAACACCAGUGGCGAAGGCGGCUCACUGGCCCGGUACUGACGCUGAGGUGCGAAAGC